rnacentral:tRNA from 1 species
UCCCUGGUGGCCUAGUGGUUAAGGGAUCUGGCAUUGUAACUCCUGUGGCUCAGGUUUAAUCCCUGACCUGGGAA